AGAAUUGCUAAUUCACAUAGAUCAGGGACACAUUUACGAUGCUAUGUCUUCGUGCACCUCUCUUUCAUUUGGGUGAUUUUAAUAGUGGAUGUUUCUGCCAGCAAACUAAAGAACUAUUUUCUGUACCAACUGAUCUUAUCUCACGCAAUACUUGAUAUGCUAUUGCAUCUGCCAUUGCUCUCUGUCAUCAAUUAUUUUUUAUCCUCCUUCUAUUGCUCUCUCUCAAAGACCCACACGCUACCAUGCCACUCUCGGCGGAGACGACUCUCGCCACGGCGAAUAAGAAUAAAAAAAAUGUUGGAUCAUUUUGAAUAGUUUCUGCCCUUAUAUAUUGCUUUUUUCUUACUGCUGGGCCUUUCUACUUACAGCCAUAUGACAUUAGACUUUGCUAACUGACUAGCUGGAAAAAUAAAGAUGGCCUUAUGGGAAAUGCCUGCAGUCAGAGCGAGAGAACUAUAUGCGUCAAGCUGGCUGUCCAGUUGAGCUGCGAGCAACGCUGCGGCAGAAUUUAUCGAAAAUUUUACUUUGCGGAUACAAUUUUGCUGGCUUGGUGUCUGUGUUCUGCUGGAAAACAUCAUUGUGGGUCAAGUAGUGUCUCAGUUGUUCUACUAAAAGCCAUUAGACGUGUCUAGAGACGGAAUGUUGCCUUUUGUCUCUACUGCUAUCCCUCUCUACGCAGCAAAAUUGUCUAAGUCUAAUGUCAUAUGGCUAUUAACGCCAACUGAUACGCUUUAUUUAUACAAAUCUCCGACCAUUAUCAGUGCAUUAAGACUUCGCUUUGGCUUGCGUCAUAUUUCGCACGUCAGCAUCCUAAAUGCUAAUAUUAAAUAUAAAUAUACUAGAAGGAAAGCUCCUUGCGCAUUUGCUUCGAUCAAGUGCCAAUCCAAGGUUCUCUCGCUCACACAACCCACAUACCCAUUCUUCUGAUCACUGCGGCGCCUUAUAAUCACAUCAUAGUUUUGCAUUGAUACUGAAAUGGAUGACAAAAUAAAAAUAGCUAAUAGCACCAAAAAAAAAAUGAAUACCAUUGAUGACUUUGUCAUCCGUGUAAUGUUAUUAGAAGUAGUUAUUAGUACAGCAGUGGCAUUCUGCACGAUGUUUCAUUUUCUGUGACUUUUCUUCUUCUUCUUCUCUCUCAUGCCAUUAGGCGAAAACAACACAACACAUUUGAAAAUAUUUUAUCUGUUUACAUUUUUUUCCUACAUCUGUUUUCUAGAGAUGUGAGCGAGAGAGAGAAUAAAGGAAGUGGGCUAACAACUGAAAAUGAAUUUCUUAUUUCUGGCUAUAAUAAUAAUCCGAUCUGAUCGUGAUUCGGCAGUAUGGUAGAUGUGUGCAUUCUCUACGACACCCCGUAUCUUUAAAAUUUUGGAUGCCACAGAUUUUCGUCUUUUGUUGAGGCCAAAGUGUGUGAAAAUCCGAAAUUUUGAAAUAAACUUCUAACAGUGUGAUAUCAAUUAAGUGGUAAAAGUGGAUAUGUGUAGCGCAGAGAAGAAAACGUUUCAGACCUCAUAAAGUAUAUUAUUAAGUUCCACCUGACUGUAAAUAACAUCUGCGUAUGCGUAAGACGACGCAUCGGCAACGCAUUGCUUGAAGCGGUGAUGACAGAUAGCGAGGUAUGCUGCAAAUUUCCAAUAAAUGAACUUCAGAUACAAACUGUUGCCUACGUACAGAUAAUUGCAAGUGUAGUGGUUCGUUCCCUUCUACCGAGCUGAGCACACUUUCUUAAUUAGAACCUUUUGAACCUUUAGAAAUCAUAGGGCUUGGUAAACUCAGACAGCAAAAUCAGAAAUAUCGUCUGCAGCAGGGUCCUUAGCGUAUCGAGUUUUGCUGUCUAGUUCUAGUGGGUACUCACAACAGUUUGAACUGCGUUUUCAAAGUUUAAACUCAGCUCGGCUCAAUACCAAAAUCAGUUAAUCCUUGACUGUAAUGAGAUCGGCGAUAUUGCGUCACUUAUAAGCACCGCAGCAGCAUUCGGAUACAAAUCGAUAUGAUCUCCAUGCAUGAUUUUCCUUUCCGAUUAAAUCCCGUUGAAUAGGUAGUCCUAUGUGUAGACGUGAGCUGAGCGAAUAUCCCUUGCAGUCGUCUCCAGAUCCAUCAAAGAUAGCUCGGCAUCGCGUGGUGGUGCUAUCUGGUCUAAACACAGCGUGGUGGUAGCGGAAGGAAUCAACUCCAUGUGUCCUCGUUGCAGGUGGUAGUCCUCCAUAAACUCGACGUAUUGUUAUUUGAGUUCAGGAAACUUUCGAAAUUUCCGUUCGAGAUAAGCGAAGCGUACAUUGUGACAAUUUAGACCUCAUACGCGGGGCAGAAUCUUUUUACCGAGAUUGAACGAUGUAUACGCAAUCAUCUCUGCAAGUGAGCGUGUGAACCAAGUGUUGCUUAUCUGGAUCACUAGCGUGAAUGGUCGCAUUACAUUAAACCGAGGUAAGCAACAUGUUGCGAAUUGAGGGCAGUCCCAUACGGUGGCUUGGAUGGGAUUUUUUGGACUAGAUCGCUGGUUUGGUUUCGGAAAGGUCCGAAAUGUCCAUAAGGAAAGGAGCCCCAAGAAGCCGUAGUCUAU